rnacentral:tRNA from 1 species
GUUCGCGGUGGCGCGUGGCGCGCGCGUGAUCGGCACCGCCGGUCCGGCGAACCACGACUACCUGAGCUCACUGGGCUCCGAACCCGUCGCGUACG